UACGAAGGGGGCUAGCGUUGCUCGGAAUCACUGGGCGUAAAGCGCACGUAGGCGGCUUUCUAAGUCAGGGGUGAAAUCCUGGAGCUCAACUCCAGAACUGCCUUUGAUACUGGAGAGCUUGAGUCCGGAAGAGGUGAGUGGAACUCCGAGUGUAGAGGUGAAAUUCGUAGAUAUUCGGAAGAACACCAGUGGCGAAGGCGGCUCACUGGUCCGGUACUGACGCUGAGGUGCGAAAGCGUGGCGAGCAAACAGG
rnacentral:rRNA from 1 species